rnacentral:misc_RNA from 1 species
CAAGAAUGAAAGACUGCCAU